CUGCCGGGAGGUGCCAGUUGGCUUCAACCUCUGCCCGUCUCCUCUCCGCCCUGCCAGGCUGUGAAAACGCCUGGGCUCUGCCUCUUGCUGCCUGCCCAAGGUUACCAUAGCAAUCCAUUUUACUUUAAAAAUAAAGAGGAUGCUGAUCCUUUGUAGGGCAGAUUGGCACUCCCAGCAGCUCCUGGAUUUCUGCACUUCAGGUCCUCGCAAGGAAGCCACGAACAGGAUGCCACCCCCUCCCCACUCUGCUGAUCUCCUCAGCUGGGGGAGAAAAAAGAGGAUUCUCAUUUUCACCUGACCUGGCUAAUAGCUGUACUUAGAGAGAAAACCUGACACUAAGUGCGGGGCCUCAUCGAGACAAGAAAAUGAGCUAAAUAUCAUGACUCGGCAUACCUGUCAGGGGUCGGACCUGGAUUGCAGGGGAGUGAGUGGGCGCAUCAGCCGCAGCUGCGCUGCUUCCUCUGAGAACCGUUGGCUUUCGAAAAGGGGGGCGGGUUUCCUGCAGAAGCCGCAGCUUCUCCUGGGCUGUGGCUGCACGUGCUUUGCAGAGGCUUCCUGGGACCCCCAAAGUUGUCGAUGGGGCCAGGAUGAGACCUAAAUUUGAUUUUUUCCUUUGCACUGACAUUUAAUUAAACCUUAUGAACACGA